UGACUUGUAUGUAUUUCUUUGUCUUUCAGCUGUGUCCUGAGCUCAAUAGUUGGCUCCGUACGAUGAAUCCUCUAUUAAUUAAUGAGUUCAUUAAUCUGAUACUAAAGGAUAAAAGCUUCACAUUUGAUGUCUAAAUAUCCCCAAAGUGAAGGAGCUACGUUUGGACCAAGCCGAAUCAGGUCCUGCUUCCAGGCUCCUCCCCGGAACGUCCUCCCCGCUGCAGGACACCCCCUGCAGCCGCCGCUCGGAAUCGCAUCACCCACCGUGGACUCAAAGACCCCCUACUUCUCUGGGCACGGAGGCUGUUUCCCUGUAGAUCCUCACCAGAACCCAUGCGCUGAUCCCCUGUAAUUUCCCACAAUAAAUUUUUUUUCAGC
rnacentral:lncRNA from 1 species